CGGAAAAGGAGAAAAAGCAGAAGGAGCAGAAGGAGCAGGAAGAGCAAGAGAACGAAGAGGACCAGGAGAACCAGGAACACCAGGAGGAGGAGGAGGAGAAAUAAUGAGUGACUGUGUCUACGUAUAUUGGAAGAGUUUGCUGGGGUAUUAAUCUUCAUUGGAGAAAUGUGUACUCAAAGAAUUACUGAUGUAGAGUCUCACUGUGCUGCCAUCUGAAACUUCAAGCUCAUUACUGAAACCAUGCUUCCUCUCAGCAUCACGAGAAGAUCACAACAGAUGCAGAUCACCACACUUAGCUAGUGGUAUUGUAAAAUCUCUUCAUUACUGACUUUCAUCUUUGCCUGCUUAUGUAUAAAAUUGAAUCAAAUGUUUAUAUUUUCUCAUUUACUACAGGUUUAAUUACAUCACAUUAGAUAUAAUCAUAUUUUUAUUACUUGCCAUGCUUUUCAAUUACAGCAACAUAUUUAAACACUGAAAAUAUUUCAAUAUUAUAUUUUUAUUAUUUAAAACGUUAUUUUAAUUAAAAUAAUCAAUUAUAUUAUACUAUUCCCCCAAGUUCUUAAGUGCCUCGCCCACUUGCUCCCCAACUUAAACUCUUUGGCAAAAACAAAAUGAAGAUAUAAAAAUCCAAUCUAAAACAAUCUCUUUAAAUCAGAAAAAUAAAAUUAUAUUAAAAACAAACAACAUCAAAAACAAACAACAAAAUAAUCAAACAACAAUAAACAAAAACAAUUAAAAGAAGAACACCAAGCUGUAAACAGGUAAAAGCACACUCAUAAACUCUGAAAACUUUGGAGUGGAAUUACUUGGUAAUCAAUUACUGCUGUACUAGAGGCCUGUCCUAGUUGAUGUACCUUGUGUCACUCAUUCUAGAAAUUUAAAUUUGCUGUAAUAAGUUAUAUGUGAGAGUUCAGUUUUUAACCUUUACUCCAGUGCAAACAUUUUCUUUUUAUUUAUUUAUUUAUUUAUUUGUUUGUUUGUUUGUUUAUUUGUUUAUUUAUUUAUUAUUUGUUUGUUUAUCCAUUGAUUCAUUCCUUUUUAAAAUGUAAGAAAAUUAAAUAUAAUAAAAUAAAAAAAUUAUAGUAUUAAUAUACUAAUCAAUACCUGCAUGGAUUUACUACCUUCCUCAAUGUAAUAGUGUUUUAAUGUUAAUUGGAUCCCCAAAGCCUGUUUGCAUUAGAGGAUCUACAAGUAACUUCUGGGAACUUGCCCCCAGUAAAUUUUGUUUGGUAAAUAAAGAAGACAGAUGCUAUUAGGAGGGGAGGUGAGACAGCUGCACAAUUUAAGAUUCUCAGGCUUGGAACUAUGAGAAAAAAGAAAGGCAGACAAAGGCACUACUUGAGGAUUGUUCACAGGAGAAAAAUGGAGCCACUAUAUAAAAAGGCCAGGAGAACAUGGCCCAGAGGGCUGCUCAAUUAAGUCAAGUGAAGCCCAAAACAGAACAAAGAUAUUAAUGUUUGUAACUCAUGGUUAUCUGUGGGAGGUAGAUUACAACAUCAUAGUGGUUAGGCAGUUGCUCAGCUAUUGUGUUGUUUAAAUCAUAUUAAACAGAAGGCUGUGUGUUUUUCAUUCAUGAAAAUAAAACAUUGAAACAGGUAGUCACCAAUGAAAGAAUAAUUUAAAAAAUAAUACUACAACUAUGGCAAUGACAUUGAGCAAGUAAAUUCAACAAUAAGACAUAAGCCCAAGACAAGGCACAAUAAUCAGAAAUAAACCUAUUUGUACACUCAGAUAUCCCAGAAAAUCCCUUAAUUGAAAUUGAUGUAUAUGUGAGGAUGACUUAAUAUAUUCCCAAGGAUCACAGGGAUGCAGCACUGUUAGUCAACGUAGGCACUGACCUGACAUCUCCAUUUUAAUGCAAUUUGUAAAUACUGUUAUCAACAAUGUGUCUGUGCUGUAAAUUUGGGGAGAGGACCUUAUAACGUUGGCAACAAUUUGGGUUGUUUAGAAAUAUCUAUUCUAUUUAGGACAGCAUUUUUGACCCACAUCUCAAUUAAAUGUAAACCAAUUCCAGUACUGGAAGCUGUGUUUGUUGACAAGUGAGACCCAUUAUUUGCUGAUUUCAUUUAGAUUGCAUGCAUAAACACACAGACACACACACACACACACACACACACACACACACACACACACACACAAAUUUCUACAGUUUUUGUUGUAUUAUAUUUCCAUACUAGCCCCCAGUACGCCUCUAGUGCCCUUUAGUUUUAGCUAAUCCUCCUGAAUUCCACAACCUACUCUCCUUACCCUAGCUGUUACUACAUGUUUUCUCUUCCACAGGCAAUUCCCCUAGUGAUUCCAGCCCCAUUCCAAAUCAUUUAGUUUUGUCUAGUCUCUUACUUUUGUCAGAGUAUGCUUUGAGAAACUUACACAUUAUAAGAUAUUAAGAAAAAAUGCCUAGUAUUUGCUUUACCUAAUGACUAUCCUGAAUGCAACAUCUGGGACAAUGACCAAUGAAGGUGGCUAUAAUAUGUAUCAGAUGGUUUUUAAAACAGCAGAUAUUGAGGUGUUUAAAAUCUGUAUAUAUUAGUUUUCCAUUUAUGUUUAUGGAAUUUCAUUUUUGUAACUAUUUUUUGAAUUAUUUUUCAAAUCAUGAAAGUGGCUAGAGAUUUUCAAGCAUUUUUAUUUUCUUUACUGAACAUUGAAAUGCUUAUGUAGUCCUUUGUCAUUACUUGUAUUAAUGUCAUAGUACUUUACAGGAGGUCUUUAUCUAUGUUAAGAUAUUCCUAGUUAUUUAGGUAACAUUUAAAAUAUAAUAGCAUAACUACUUUUCUGUUGGAUGGUUUGGAUUGUAUUUGUAUAUAAAUUCAUUUUGUAUUAUUAUUUGAUGUUUUUCACACAUAUUUUAAUUAGCAUCUUUCCCCGUUUCCAACUACUGCCAGAGCUUUCUGUCUCCCUACAAUAAAAUUUCAUCCUCCCUUGGCUGUGUACAAGCUAACGAUCUCUGUGUCUGUCUUAACCCCCACAAUAAAAAUGAAACAACAAAAACAUAAACAAAUUAAAAACCCAACAAUGCAAAAAUAUACAAAAAUAAAAUGACUCAAAUACCCAGAAGAGAAUAAUGAA